GGACAGUUACUGUUUUUGCUCUCCAAAAAUCAAUCGAUUCAAACACAUCACACUAUCUUUUCUUCCAAAUCAAAAUCACAAAAAGGAUCGAAACAAAUUUAACAGCUGAAAUUUGGAUUCCAUCAUCACCUACAAUGUUUUCCAUCUUCGCAUAAAAGAAAAUAGGCAAGAUAGUCAAGGUGAUGCAUCAAGAGGAUGGGUGUUGUUUGGCGUGCUUUCCUGCAUCAGCACAUACUGUUCUCCUGCAGUGUUAUCUGUAUAACGGGGGAAGCCUUUCUUGACGGUUGCUUUCUGAGGGCAAAAAAUCAUAGUUUGUUUGACGAAUUUAUGGGUCCUGAUGCCGAAGCUGUUUGUGGGAACUCUGCUCAAGAGGGGCAAAAAUUCCAGGAUUCGGCGAUGGAGGUUGUGCUUGAUACUGUGCUACUGCAAUACGUGAUGGUGCCUAGCAACGGCUAAAGUGAAAGGAUCGUCUUUAGGAAGUGAAUCAGUUUAUGUUCUUGCGGAUUGCUGGAAGAUGUUGAAUGCUAGCUCAUCCAAAGCAUGUUUGGAGGAAGCAUCAGCCUUAAUGGACGGAUGUUUGCCAUGGUUAUAGGGACGAGCACUUAAAAAAGGAAGCUUCAUGAAGUAUCCAAACAUAGAUUUCCCAAAUGAGGACAAACAACUGAAAGCUUGAAAAGUACUAGAGAAUCAAUCAAUGUACCUACAUUGUAUUUAUUAUGGGGAUAUCAUGUCAUAAAACCAAAUUGAACUGUUGGCA